rnacentral:rRNA from 1 species
GGGCCCGCACAAGCGGUGGAGCAUGUGGUUUAAUUCGAUGAUACGCGAGGAACCUUACCAGGGCUUAAAUGCAGAACGACAGAGGUGGAAACACCUCCUUCUUCGGACGGUCUGCAAGGUGCUGCAUGGUUGUCGUCAGCUCGUGCUGUGAAGUGUCGGGUUAAGUCCCAUAACGAGCGCAACCCCUAUUUCUAGUUGCCAGCGGUUCGGCCGGGGACUCUAGAGAAACUGCCAGCGUAAGCUGUGAGGAAGGUGGGGAUGACGUCAAAUCAUCACGGCCCUUACGUCCUGGGCUACACACGUGCUACAAUGGUAGGGACAGAGAGUUGCCAACCCGCGAGGGUGAGCUAAUCUUCAAAGCCGAUCACAGUUCGGAUCGGAGUCUGCAACUCGACUCCGUGAAGCUGGAAUC